AAUCCGAAGGGCGUGGGAGGGCUGCGGGAGGCAGGAAGGUAUCUGGAGAGAAGGCUGCGAAAUGGUGCCAAGGCGGGUCCUUCGCUGCUUUAUGGGCCGUGAUAAGGACGGUGAUCUUUACUUGAAAGGCAUUGGAAUGCCCUGCUUCGGCCUGAGAAGGGUCGGCGUGGACAGAAUGAGCUGGAGGAGGCAACAUGGAUGCAAAGAAACUGGCAGUUCCUGGCCAGGUGGCUCUCUUCAGCGAAGUACAAUUCUCUGGCUAAAGUUUCUCAGGGUCACAGGUCAUGGAUUCUGGACAACUCAUAUGGUAUGACUGGCAUUCAAGCAAGGCUCAGACCAAGAGGACUUUUUUCAGGCUACCUUAUCUUCAGAUGACACAGGGGCUGUGCUAUGUAUUUUUAUUGAAAUAAUAAAGAUUAGAUUAAAUACUGGUUUCUGGGUAUGCCAUUGUGAAUACGACAGGUAGAGAGUUUGUAUUUUUAAAAUUUGGGGAUGUAUGGCUGAUGCUGAGAUACUCUUAUGCCCAAUUAACACUUGAGACUCUUUAGAGUUGCAUGAGGGAUUUGGGUUCCAUUAAUGCAACUUUGGAGUCUGGAAGGAACUAUUUUCAUUGCAGUGGACAACAACCCAGUCAAAGCACUGAUGGAACUCUGUCUUGAGCUGAGCAAGGCCCUUUGAGAUGAAGCAGAAAAAUAACCUCGGGGAAAUUGAUUUGGGAAUUUUAAUCCCUUGGAACUCUUACUAAAGGUCUUUGUAUUUAAGUUCUUUGGGAUUCAAUUUUAUUCUGAGACUUUAAUAAUGGGAGGAUGGUUGUAUUUAAAUUUGGAACAUUACUAUAUUGUCGAGUGAUCUUAUAACUUCUGCUGCUCUAUAUUGGAUAAUAUUGCUGUGUGUGAAACAGGAAAGUAAAUCUAACAGGGAGGG